rnacentral:rRNA from 1 species
CAAUAAGCGGAGGAAAAGAAACCAACAGGGAUUGCCCUAGUAACGGCGAGUGAAGCGGCAACAGCUCAAAUUUGAAAUCUGGCUCUUUCAGAGUCCGAGUUGUAAUUUGCAGAGGGCGCUUUGGCUUUGGCAGCGGUCCAAGUUCCUUGGAACAGGACGUCACAGAGGGUGAGAAUCCCGUACGUGGUCGCUAGCUAUUGCCGUGUAAAGCCCCUUCGACGAGUCGAGUUGUUUGGGAAUGCAGCUCUAAAUGGGAGGUAAAUUUCUUCUAAAGCUAAAUAUUGGCCAGAGACCGAUAGCGCACAAGUAGAGUGAUCGAAAGAUGAAAAGCACUUUGGAAAGAGAGUCAAACAGCACGUGAAAUUGUUGAAAGGGAAGCGCUUGCAGCCAGACAUGCUUGCAGUUGCUCAUCCGGGCUUUUGCCCGGUGCACUCUUCUGUAGGCAGGCCAGCAUCAGUUUGGGCGGUGGGAUAAAGGUCUCUGUCACGUACCUCUCUUCGGGGAGGCCUUAUAGGGGAGACGACAUACCACCAGCCUAGACUGAGGUCCGCGCAUCUGCUAGGAUGCUGGCGUAAUGGCUGUAAGCGGCCCGUCUUGAAACACGGACCAAGGAGUCUAACAUCUAUGCGAGUGUUUGGGUGUCAAGCCCGAGCGCGUAAUGAAAGUGAACGGAGGUGGGAACCCGCAAGGGUGCACCAUCGACCGAUCCUGAAGUUUACGGAAGGAUUUGAGUAAGAGCAUGGCUGUUGGGACCCGAAAGAUGGUGAACUAUGCUUGAAUAGGGUGAAGCCAGAGGAAACUCUGGUGGAGGCUCGCAGCGGUUCUGACGUGCAAAUCGAUCGUC